AUCUAUAUAUACACUACUAACUGUCAAAGCAACUAACGACAGCAACAAAACCAACCUAUUCUGCGGAAAAUCAUUGAAAUGAACGACACUAAUCUCCUAUCCUGGAACACACUCGAUCCCGCCCAGUGAGUCGCAUAACAAACCGAACCAAUCAGGUGAUUCGAAGCGGUUGAGUGCUUCAAACGUCACUGAAGUGAUUCAAACGUCACGAGUCACGUGACCAAAACACGCCUCGGCACAGUGGCUCGAUAUGUUUGCUUCAUGAGCUACAGCGCAUGUGUCGAAGCCUCGGGUAUCAGAGGACCAUCGCUAUCUCUGGCUGCUGUUGACCUUGUUUUUGGAGUAAAACACGGUGGAAGCUGAAUUAGUGAGGAUGACUCCUGCUCCUGUCAUCUCUAAGCUCCUCACACAUCUUUACCUGCACAUGAGGAAAAUCACUCCUGUAGAAUGCAGUGGUUCAUCAGAACCUCUGGGGAUGUCCUGUGGAUUCUGUGGAUCCUGUGGGUUGCAGGGUGGGUCCUACCUAGACCAGGCUGAUCCUGGACCAUCCCACAGAUGCUCAAUCAGAUGUGGAUGUGGGGAGUGUGGAACCCAGAUGUUCAGAGGGAGAUGAUGCCACAUCUGGUCCAGCUGAUGGAAGGUCUUGAAGUUCUCUGACUGGCCUCGACUGAAGAUGGUCGUCUCACUGGAUUUAAGGUUCAGAUGCUCAGUAACAAACUCCACCAAUGAGCCAACAGGGAAGCUUUAGGUUUAUUAAAUGUUGCUAUGAAGGUAUCACUGUUUUUCUUUGUGAAUGCAAUGUGCUCCAACUGAAACUUGAAUUAGAACUUAGAAGUAAAUCCUUCCAUCUGAAAGGAUUUAGUUGCAUUAAUAACCUCAUAACAUUCUAAUUUUUAUUUCAGUCUUGGCUGGAAAUAGAAUCUCUGUAUUGAUUCAGGUAAAAACUGAACUUCACAGCAUGUUGAAGCAAAACAACCAGAUGAAAACUGUGAUGGUGUUGGAUUGUCAGACCGUAAUGUUGCAGCUCAAAGCAGCUUUUCUAUCUCAGUUCAUUCUGACAUUCAGCUAUGAAUCAACACAGCAGAUGGUGAUCCAUGCUGUGGAAGUCUCACAUCUCCUGAUUUAAUGGAGCUGCUUUGCACUUUUUACACUGUUUAUUCACCAACACUUUAUUUAAUAAAAGUUCCAUCUAGUUUUUAUGAGGAAAGUGAUGUUUUAAUUUCUCUGUGAAUAACUGCAGUCUAAUGCAACAGCUGGAGUUGUAACAUCUGUCCUGAUAUUGAUCAUGAAGUAUUGAUCAGAAUACUUAUGGUUAGCAGUCAUCCCUGAAGUUUUACAUUAAAAUCUUUACUUGUGUUGUGAACUUUGGUAAGAAGCAGAAACUUUUGCGUUGCCAUGGAUACAUGAGUGUUAAAUUCUGUCCAUGUUUCCAUUUUGGGAAAUUCAGUCCAGUUCCAGAAUGUGGAGGAAUUUAGUCUCACAAUCACAGACAACAAAUAUUAUCUGAAAGUCGGGUUAUUGUUGUUUAUCAGCACAAUACAAAAAGAUUAGUGUUAGAAAUAUUCCAGUUAAGACUCUAGAAUAUCAUGAUUUAUGUAAAUUUACCUCAAUAAUAUGAAUGUUCAGGUUAAGAUUGUACAGUGAUAUUUAUUAUGUAAGUUUAGCUGAUUAAAGUUUAUGACUCUGCACUAAAACAUUAUUUAAAUUGACAUCAUUAUUAUAAUAUUUAGGGUCAGACCCUACAGUAUUGAGAUUAAGAAAUCAAAUAUUCUAUAAAAUGUAAAUACACUGAACUCAUUUGGAUAUAUUUAAGUGAGACUCUACGGUAUUAUUUAUGACACAAAUCUAUCUAAAUCAAAAUUUUAAUAAUUUUCACGCCAAACAUUUACUGGACUGAUUUAAACAUUAAAAUCACUCCUUUCUAAUCCUCUGCUGUACGUUCAAACCUGAGGCCUUAAAUAGAAACACACAAGUAUCUGAUUGAAGGAACUUCUGCAGAGUCCUGGUUCCAGAACAUGAUGAUAGAAUUACAGACAAACUUUAACAAAAGCUGCCUGAGAGUUUACAGGUUUUUAUGUUGGAUUUCUUCAGUAAUUUAAUGAGAGUUAUCAGCAAAAAUCAAGUGUUCAUUUGAUGAACUUCAUUUCCUAAAACAUCCAGAAUUGGAGCUCAUAUCUUUGGCAGCUGUAAAGUUUCUGCUCCUUCAAAGUUCACAACACAAUGAAUGAAUUCCUAAAACACUCUCAAUGCUGGAGAACGUUUGUGAUGCUGAAGCAGUGACCAGUUUUUCUGUUUCUUCUCUGGAGAUGCACAAUGAGGGACGUCUGCAGAGACUGAGAAAGAGUCUCACCACAUCCUGACAUGAGGAAAAAGACUUUAUUGAAGACUACAAUGAGAAAAACUAUCAGACAGCAGACGGCUGCAUUCAAGGUGAGCUCUGAACAUUUGAUCUGGAACAGGAAUUCAAUAACGGCAGCAUGAGCUUCAUUUCAGUCUGUAGCUGCUGAAUUCAUGGAUGAAUCAUCUGGCACUAGAGAAGAAGACCAUCAAACAUCCACGUCAGCUGAUGGAGGUCCAAGAGUCUCACCCAACAAACAACCUACAGAGUGAAGACCUCGAAUCUGAUUGGACAGCCUCCUAUUCAGCCACAUGUGUGAACAAAUGCCUCUAAGCUGAUUUGUUUUCUAAAAUAAAUCUAGUUUGAGUCCUAA